rnacentral:lncRNA from 1 species
AGUUAGUUCAUGAUCUGUUUAAACCAGAUAGGUCCUGGUGGUGACAGUCACAUUCAGGACCUGCCCACACUCCUCCCCCUCCACAAGUGUGACAGGCCGCGUGGUCAGCGAGUUGCCCAGGUCAGUGCCAUUGCGUGCCCAGCCGCUGAGGAGGCCCCUGGUGCGUGGGAUGAGGAGGUGCUCAGCGAAGUCUUUCUCAGGGGUGCACACGGGGAGCCCCGCACCUGGGCACUGGAUGGGCCACUCCAGCUCCAGCAGUGACAGGUCAUUCUCCUCCGAGUCCGCGUCGUACCGCAUGUGCACAUGGACGUGCGUUAUCUUGAUCAUCAGCGGGUCUUGGCUCGUUCUGUUAAAAUCUGAAAUCAUGAACAAUCGCCAGUUCUUUACAGUCUGAUUUUCAAGGGGACAUAAUGUUCAGAAACGAGCUUCUCAGGGAGCCACGUGAGGAGGGAGAGACCGGCCCUGGAGGACCCACAGGCUCACUGCCCCGUGGUGUGGACACUGUGCCUUUCUGCGGACAGAAAGGCCACUCACAGAUUGCACGAUUGCAACCAAGUGCCACAGCCUUUAAAAACAGUCAAGGCUGUUCUGAAGGAUAUACUCAGGCAGAAGGAGAUAAUUGUGUUAGAGGCCUGAAAGGCAAGGAAAGUGGAAAAUGAGGAAAUGACAAGUGAGGUGAAAGUCGUAACAAUAAAUUGAAGCACGCGGAGAGCGCUCUGUUACCUGCCACGGGAGGUCCUGUAGAUCCGGUGCACGCUUCUCGGAGGUCAGCACCCCGCAGGCACACUGGUCUGCAUUUGCGGCAGCAACAUGAGAAUGAAAAUCAGCGCCUUCUCAGCGAAUAUCGGACUCUGUCUAUGGUGUUAACCGUUGCAUAAUUCCAUCUAUGGUACUAACCAUUAUAAUCUUAUCCUUAAUGCUGAUGAAUGUGCAGUGAUUCACAGACACACAGACUGGAGUUAAACCACCCCUCACGGCACUCAUGGUUUAGCUCAGAGUGGUCCGAGCAAGCACUAGUGACAGAAACUGCACUUUCUAGCAUGGCCAUUGCUCCAGCGUGGAGACGCGGACCACCUUCGGAGUCGUGGCAACUGCUUAUCACAGAUCCGCGGGCUUCACCCAGUACUACAGAAGGAAGGAGGAUGUGGACGGGGUCGCUGGCAUUGGAAGCUGGAGGCCGCUGUGGUCUGAGCACUCACCGUGGGGCACACACCGUUUGUGGUCCUCACCAAGCCUGUAGCCCUGAGCACAGCUGCACGUGUAGGAUUCCUGUCCUGGGAGGCAGAAGUGUUGACACCCAUCAGUCCGCUCUGGGUGACAUUCAUUUUUAGCUGAAAAGGAAAAAAAACCAGAAAUGCUAGCUUGGGAAUAGUCAUUUUAUCACAGCCUUGCACACAGUUCUGUUGGUCCAUGUUCAUUUUAUCACAGCCUUGCACACAGUUCUGUGUGUUGGUCCAUGUUCAUUUUAUCACAGCCUUGCACACAAGAGUUCUGGUGUGUUGGUCCAUGUGUUCUCAUUCUCUUCAGAUCGUUGUCCUCUGUGUCAGUGUUUCCCACAUGUACGUAUUUCAGGAAUGUGCAUGUAGAACAAAGACUCCGUGAGUGAGGCCGGGCGCGGUGGCUCAUGCCUGUAAUCCCAGCACUUUGGGAGGCCGAGGUGGGUGGAUCACGAGGUCAGGAGAUCGAGCCCAGCCUGGCCAACAUGGUGAAACCCCAUCUCUACUAGAAAUACAAAAAUUAGCCAGGCAUGGUGGCGCGCGCCUGUAGUCCCAGCUACUCGGGAGGCUGAGGCAGGAGAAUCACUUGAAC